UACGUAGGGUCCGAGCGUUGUCCGGAUUUAUUGGGCGUAAAGAGCUCGUAGGCGGUCUGUCGCGUCUGCUGUGAAAACUCGGGGCUUAACCCCGGGCCUGCAGUGGGUACGGGCAGACUAGAGUGCGGUAGGGGAGACUGGAAUUCCUGGUGUAGCGGUGAAAUGCGCAGAUAUCAGGAGGAACACCGGCGGCGAAGGCGGGUCUCUGGGCCGUAACUGACGCUGAGGAGCGAAAGCGUGGGGAGCGAACAGG
rnacentral:rRNA from 1 species